rnacentral:lncRNA from 1 species
GCUACCCAAAAGCCACCUCGAAGCUAAUGGGCAACAGAUCAUUCCACGGCAUCUCACCCGCUGAGCACAAGCGGCUGCGACGGCUGACGGCCGCCCCAAUCAACGGCCUGGAGGCUCUCACUCUCUUCGUCAGCAAGAUCGAAGACAUCUUGGGCCCUUCCAUGGAGAAAUGGGCCGAGUCCGGGCAGCCUGUCGCACUUAUGACGGAGAUGAAUAAGGUGACUUACAUGGUCAUCACAAACAUCUUGUUCGGCGCGAACGUUGAUUACGACAUGCAGAAGAUGGAGAGUUUAUUCUACGACUUGGCUCAAGGAUUGAUAUCAAUACCCAUCAACUUCCCUGGAUGUACUUAUCAUAAAGCACUCAAGGUAAAAUAGAAUUUCCAACGUCAACCUUUUUGUAAUGUAAUUUGAAUUGAGGAAGUUGCUUUACAGUAUAAAGUCACAAAAAUGUUGUCUUAGGCAAGAAGAGAAUUGGUUAAGAUCCUUCGAGCUAAUUUGGAUGAGAGGAGGAGGGUGAAAAAUAAGAAAGAGCGGGCAAUUGAGGAAAAGGAUAUGUUGGAUUUAUUAAUGGAAGUGGAAGAUGAGGAUGGUGAGAAAUUGGAUGAGGAGACCAUCAUUGACGUUUCUCUCAUGUUCUUGCUUGCUGGCCAUGAAACCUCAGCUCAUGCCACAAUGUGGGCUGCCAUCUUCCUCAAAGAACAUCCUGAGAUUCUCCAAAAACUGAAGGUUAGACAACAUCACUUCUUGCAGGGACAUUUCAAUAAAGCUUACUCAGAUUUCCUUGGACAGCGAGGCCAUUUCAUAUGAUAAUGUCUGAUUUACCCUUCAAAGAUAAUUAGAUGGCUCAUCUAUGCUGAAUAACAUUUAUAAAUGCCAAAGAUCUCUCUUUCUGGGGGUCUAUUACAAUGAUCAUUUUAGUCCCGACUUUAAAUCUGGGAAGUGCUUGAAUUACGAAAGUUGUGCCCAUUGUGACAAAACUCGGUUGACCUAUUAUAUUGACUAUUCACAUUCUCAUUAUGGAUCUUAAAGAUGACGGGGGAAGCAAUCCGAAUUAAGCAACUUAUUCCUUCAUAGUGGCUUGAAUGAAACAAGAGUUUUAUAAUUCAUGACUGUCGAAGUGUGAAGUGAAUUCUACUCCAUCUAUCAGAAAGAGCAAGAGGAGAUUAUUAGGAGGAGACCACCUACACAGAAAGGACUGACUCUCAAGGAGAUAAGACAAAUGAAUUAUCUGUCCAUGGUACGUAAUCAUCUUUGUUUACAAUAUCACACAAAAUAUAAAAUUUGUGACGCCUGUUUAAAAUGACAUUUACUUUUCUCUUUUAUUUAAAUCUUGCAGCGCAUGCGUUUUUUUAAACUUUUUUUUAAUUAGAGCACUUGUAACAUUCACAAAAUAUAAAUGUUGUCACAUAGCAAAAUUCCAGCACAUAAUGUUUUUAUUGUUUUUAUUUUUUUAAUUUAGAUGAUAUUUUAAACUUUUACGAGAAAGCUAAAAAAGAACUUCUUUUUAGGACUGGUGACUAACGUUUUAUAAACUCAUAUGGAAAGUUGAUUAAAUAUAAAUGAUGAUGAUUAUCUGUGGUUGUAACCGCCAAUCAAACGGAAAUAUUCUUACAGAGGAUUAAAAAAAUAUUUCAAGAAAUAUGACCAAAAGCACUACUUUAACUUUAGAUUUUGACAUAGACAGAAAAGCAUAUUACUUCGAAUCGGUACACAGAUCACGUUUUGGACUUUCUGUAUAACGAGCUUACUUAUGAAGCGCUCACUCUAUGCUAUGACCUAGGUGGUUGAUGAAACGCUACGAAGAGGCAAUCUCUCUUUCGCAGUGUUCCGAGAGGCAACAGCUGAUGUGGACAUCGAUGGUUGGUAAAAUGGAUUUUGAAAAAUGAAUCUCUUCGUUGGUAUUGAUUAGAGGAACUCGUUCGAAAGAUAGGCAUGACCUUCAUGUGUCAAUUACAGGCUAUCUUGUACCAAGAGGUUGGAGAGUAGUAGUUUAUUUAAGGGCGAUUCAUGUCGAUCCUGAGAACUACUCGAAACCAGAAGAAUUCAACCCCUCAAGAUGGGAAGUAAGUAAUCCAUCAGAAAAAUUACUCAAUCAGUCCUGAACCUAUUGGACAAAUGUGCAUUCAAUCCUAAACUUUCUAAUUUUACCAAUUUAGUCUAAACCCUUGCUCAAAAUUCCAACGUAGUCGUUUCGGCCAAUUUUUGCUAGAAGUCGUUGACGUGGUGGUCCAGUCACCAACGUCUGUCCUACAUGACGUACGAUCAUAGUAGUGGUUGCCAACAAAAAUUGGCUAGAAGGAUUUCAUUGAAAUUUUGGGGAAAGAUUUAGGAUUAAAAUGACAAAAUUUAAAUAUUUAAGACAAAAUUGACAUCUAUGCAGUAAAUUUAGGAAUAAUUGGACAAUUUUUCCUUAGUCUAUCUUUCCCUAUGUACGAGCACACUGCUCGCUUGCGCUUAUGCACGUGCAUAUACAUAUACUUAUAUGUUAUACAUUUUACUUGUGGCUUAUGUGUUGGUAGCAAACUGUCAAGGCAAAAGCAGGAACUUUCCUACCAUUUGGAGGGGGAAGCAAAUUGUGCCCUGGAAUGGACUUGGCAAAGCUUGAAAUGUCCAUUUUUCUCCAUCAUUUUGUACUUCACUACGAGUGAGUUGUUCUUAUUCUUUAAGCCUGCUUUUACCCCCCUAAUGAUUUUUUUUUUUUUUUUGGGUGCAGUAUGGAAAGGCUCAACCCAAAUAGCCCAAUGGUGUACCUACCAUUAGCAAGCACUUAUGACCAUUGCCUUGUAAACUUCAAAAGAAAUCAUUAGACGAGGGAUAUAUUUGCAGCUUUUUGGCCCAUUUGGAUACCAUCAAUGAUCAUGGUUAAUUGAGUUUGAAAAGAAAUAGAUUANNNNNNNNNNNNNNNNNNNNNNNNNNNNNNNNNNNNNNNNNNNNNNNNNNNNNNNNNNNNNNNNNNNNNNNNNNNNNNNNNNNNNNNNNNNNNNNNNNNNCCUCUUUAUUUCUCAAACGAGGAUUAAGAUGGUUCAAUAGAUUUUAUUUAACUAACAACGAUGGAGCCAUCCCUUUUCCGACCAACAAACGACUCCAACAUCACUAACGAAAAUGCAAUCAAUUAAUGCGUACCUAGAUCAGCAAGUGUCUCGCUCUAGAUGUUGCAGCUGGGCUUCCACUGACUGAGGACUCAAGGACAAUCUGGGUAAAUAUUCGUGAGAUGUACGAACUCGAGGCCACUGAAGAGUGGCUCGAGGGACCAGAGACUACUCUUCAGCAGUGUAGAGCAAUAAAAGAGAGGGAGAAAGUGAUUUGUUUUUUGUUGAUUCUAAACGAAACGUACUCACCCUUUCGAUUGGAGAUCUUGGCAAUGGAUCCGAUGUCAUCACUAGGCCG